rnacentral:miRNA from 1 species
UCGAUGCGAUCCCUUGGGAAG